rnacentral:pre_miRNA from 1 species
ACAACGUUCGGACCGUCGGUCUACCGAGCAAUAUCACCCGCUCGGUGGAAGAUCUUCCCUUUGCGGU